AGGGUUCGAUUCUGGCUCAGGAUGAACGCUGGCGGCGUGCUUAACACAUGCAAGUCGAACGGGAUCCCGGGGGUUCGCUUCCGGGUGAGAGUGGCGAACGGGUGAGUAAUGCGUGACCGACCUGCCCCAUACACCGGAAUAGCUCCUGGAAACGGGUGGUAAUGCCGGAUGCUCCGGUUGGAUGCAUGUCCUUCCGGGAAAGAUUCUAUCGGUAUGGGAUGGGGUCGCGUCCUAUCAGCUUGAUGGCGGGGUAACGGCCCACCAUGGCUUCGACGGGUAGCCGGCCUGAGAGGGCGACCGGCCACAUUGGGACUGAGAUACGGCCCAGACUCCUACGGGAGGCAGCAGUGGGGAAUAUUGCACAAUGGGCGCAAGCCUGAUGCAGCGACGCCGCGUGCGGGAUGGAGGCCUUCGGGUUGUAAACCGCUUUUGAUCGGGAGCAAGCCCUUCGGGGUGAGUGUACCUUUCGAAUAAGCACCGGCUAACUACGUGCCAGCAGCCGCGGUAAUACGUAGGGUGCAAGCGUUAUCCGGAAUUAUUGGGCGUAAAGGGCUCGUAGGCGGUUCGUCGCGUCCGGUGUGAAAGCCCAUCGCUUAACGGUGGGUCUGCGCCGGGUACGGGCGGGCUGGAGUGCGGUAGGGGAGACUGGAAUUCCCGGUGUAACGGUGGAAUGUGUAGAUAUCGGGAAGAACACCAAUGGCGAAGGCAGGUCUCUGGGCCGUCACUGACGCUGAGGAGCGAAAGCGUGGGGAGCGAACAGGAUUAGAUACCCUGGUAGUCCACGCCGUAAACGAUGAGUGCUAAGUG
rnacentral:rRNA from 1 species